UCCCCUCUAGCCACUACUUCCUUCAUUGGACUGCAAGGUAUUUCUGUUUGGAAAAGUAAUGGAGUCCAGUCAACUUCAUUGAUCGCCAAGGACUGUCAAAAUUAUAAAACUUGCUGUGGAGCUCUGACAUGCCAGAAGCCGCUAGAAAAAGAAGUUUGACAUUCAGAAACUUAUCAAGAGGUUCUACUCUUUGGAUAGAGACCAAAAUCAUACUUUGAAAAAAUGAGAAGAGAUGGAAGCCAAGGAAGGGUGUGUGGAAUCAAGUAGCAGUUCUCAAAACAGCAUAUAUCAAGACCUCAGCACAUAUCAAGACCUCAGCACAUAUCAAGACAGUGGCACAAAAGCAUCGUAGUGUUGUCAUUCACCACUAUGCAGGAGGGAAAGCCAAUUUCAUUUCAGAAUGUCCUCAAUUAAUCUGUAGAAAUUAUUAAUUUUAUUAAAUCCCAACCCUUGA
rnacentral:lncRNA from 10 species